ensembl:lncRNA
UUAGCAAUCCAGGCUCUUGUCCUCCCAUUUGCUCGGCAAGGGCUUUAACCGCCAAACCAUCUCCCCAGCCUGGAAGUUGAGUCUUACUAUUUAUUGUGUGCUCAGUUGAGAAUGAACCUUCUACCCAUUUUCAUUCCUACAUUCUUCUGCCCUCCCGCACCUCUUUUCUCUCCUGCCAUUUGGGCAGGGUAUAGUAUGGGAGUUCCCACCUUCCAUGCUCCCACCAGCCACAAGUACCAGCUCCUCGGAAGCUCUGGGGUCCCAGAGGCUUCCCGUCUGCAGGCGUAUCCCUCUGCCUCCCUCUUGGCAGCCUUCCCAUUCUUCCUCCUUCCAGGGUCUGUGGGAAUCACUCAACUAGUCAUGUUUCCUUCACUGUUCUCUACUUUGAGGGUUUUAUGCCAUUUGUGGGUUUUGCAAUUUUGAUUUGGGGGAUGGUUGUUUUAGUUUUGGCUUUUUUGUUUGGUUGGUUAGGGUGUGUGUGUGUGUGUGUGUGUGUGUGUGUGUGUUUUGGGGUGGGGGGGUUGGCUCUUUUGAGACAGUAUUUCUCUGUGUAGCCUUGGCUGUCCCAGAACUUACUCUGUAGACCAGGCUAACCUUGAACUCAAGACACCUGCCUCUGCCUCCCAAAUGCCAGGAUUAAAGACCUGUGCCACCAGCACCCAGCCCAUUUGAUUUCUAGAGUGGCAUUUUUUGUGGUGCUUUAGCAGAGAAAGAGUCUCAUCUUUGUGAAUAGCCUAGCAUGUGUAACUGGAAGCCCUGCUGCAUCUGCUUAGAUGGAUGCAGCUAAAUUGUGUGUCAUGCUCCUAGCUCUUUGGUUAAGUGGCCACACCGAGCCUUUUGUUUAUAAUUCGGCUACUUUCAUAAAUACACAUGCUUACCUUUGAAGUACUAAGCCAAGUAGAGGUGGCUGUCUCUCCAUGAGAGGAACCCCAACCCUAGGCUAGAAUCCUUUUUCUUAUUAUUGUGUGUGAGUGAGUACAUGCUGUGUUUAUAUGGGCAAUUAUGCCAUGGCAGUUGUGUAGAAAUCAAAGGAAAAGAGGAGUUGGUUUUCCUCUUCCACGUUUAUGUGAGUUUCAGGGAUUGAACCCAGGUUCUCCAGGCUUGGGGUAACAAACACUUUACCCAUAGCACCAUAUCUCCAGGCCUGUGCUGAAUUCUUGACACCUUUGUUGUGGCUUCCUGUCUCUUGCUUCUCAGUCCUGUGGACCUGCGGUGAGGAUGCUGAAGGGAAGAAAGGGGCAGAAAGAGCAACUCACAACUUGUGUUAUUAAAUGACUAAGCUGGGUGGCUUUGGUUGUUACCCAACCUAGCCUUGCUUUUGUUGCUUCUCUGCUCUCCUCCACACUGCCCAAGACCAGCCAGGUGGAAGACUUCAGCUUUCCUGUGUUUUCAUGUCUCCCAUUGAGAGGAACAGAGUGAUACUAGGGGCUUUGUCCCCAGCUCCCUGCCGUGCUAGUUCAGCAGUGCCGGAGUUCCCUCCAGCAGCACUCUCCGCAAUUCCAGGGGAAUGCAGGGUUCCUGGCCACAGCUUCCCACUGUGUUGUUGCUGGCUGUUCGCCUUCCCUUUGGAUGUCUCUCAAUGCUGCCUACCCUCCCCUCUUUAUAAACAGGCCCUUCCUUAAACUCUCCUGUCCCUGGGGUGGAGGGAAGGGGUGUGUCUGC